rnacentral:rRNA from 1 species
CAGAGGGGGCAAGCGUUGUUCGGAAUUACUGGGCGUAAAGGGCGCGUAGGCGGCCUGCUAAGUCGAACGUGAAAUCCCCGGGCUCAACCCGGGAACUGCGUUCGAUACUGGUUGGCUUGAAUUCGGGAGAGGGAUGCGGAAUUCCAGGUGUAGCGGUGAAAUGCGUAGAUAUCUGGAGGAACACCGGUGGCGAAGGCGGCAUCCUGGACCGACAUUGACGCUGAGGCGCGAAAGCCAGGGGAGCAAACGGGAUUAGAUACCCCGGUAGUCCUGGCCCUAAACGAUGAAUGCUUGGUGUGGCGGGUAUCGAUCCCUGCUGUGCCGAAGCUAACGCAUUAGGCAUUCCGCCUGGGGAGUACGGUCGCAAGGCUG